ensembl:lncRNA
AUUUUAUUUCCAUGUGAGACUGCUGCUAUAUCAAACCAGAACUGACGGUGGGUUUGGCUACUGUUCGGACUGGUUGGGCAAUUACUCUCUAUUUGUACAUAAGUAUUUUAUUUUAUUUUAUUUUAUUUUCCUGCGCACGUCCUUUUCCUUUUGAAUUACUCUACAUUACUGUUUUAUAGGUAGACUCUCCUUCUGUACUGUGCACCAAUUCCUGCCACAUAUCUCUGGAUCUCACACUCACUUUGCUUUCCACCUGGACUUCAGGCCUGGGGCCCCCAGCAAAAGAAAGGCAUGGAGCUCUUGGAACAAGUCCAGAGGAGGCCACUAAGAUGAGCAGAGGGCUGGAGCACCUCUCCUGUGAGGAAAGGUUGAGGGAACUGCGCUUGUUUAGUUUGGAGAAGAGAAGGCUCCGGGGAGACCUCAUUGUGGCCUUCCAGUACUUGAAGGGAGUGCAUAAACAGGAGGGGGAACGGCUGUUUGUGAGGGUGGACAGUGAUAGGACAAGGGGGAAUGGUUUUAAACUGAGACAGGGGAGGUUUAGGUUGGAUAUUAGGAGGAGGUUUUUCACCCAGAGGGUGGUGACGCACUGAACAGGUUGCCCAAGGAGGCUGUGGAUGCCCCAUCCCUGCAGGCAUUCAAGGCCAGGCUGGAUGUGGCUCUGGGCAGCCUGGGCUGCUGGUUGGUGACCCUGCACAUAGCAGAGGGUUGGAACGAGAUGAGCAUUGUGGUCCUUUUCAACCCAAGCCAUUCUAGGAUUCUAGGAUUCUCCUGUCUCUCAGGAGAAUCAGACAUUAACUGCUACCACAUAUCCUGAAAAAUGUUCCUUGUUCUAAUUAAGCAAUAACUAAUGCCCCCACAGUGGAUUCCCAAGUUCUCAGUUCCAUACAAGAAGUAUCCAGUCUGUUUUCCUCUUUUCCAUUUCAAUUUGAAAAGCUAAUAUUCCCAUUUGAUGUCCUAUGUUCACAGUACUCAUCCACUACCAUUACAGCAGUCUUGCUAAACCAACCAACGAAAAAAUAAAAAACAUCUUUCUCUCUCCCUCAUUUACUUUCUCAGUUUUCUCCCUUGUUAUCAUCGCCCUGCCCUGACUCAGGUAAGAGCACUCUUAGUGGAGGUAUUGCAACCGCAGGUGACAUCCACCUCUGUGUUGCAAACACCUUGCUGCAUUAUGCUGUGCUGCUUGCUCAGAG